rnacentral:rRNA from 1 species
AACGAACGCUGGCGGCAUGCCUAACACAUGCAAGUCGAACGCGACCUUCGGGUCUAGUGGCGCACGGGUGCGUAACGCGUGGGAACCUGCCCUUAGGUUCGGAAUAACUCCCCGAAAGGGGUGCUAAUACCGGAUAAUGUCUUCGGACCAAAGAUUUAUCGCCUUUGGAUGGGCCCGCGUUGGAUUAGCUAGUUGGUAGGGUAAAAGCCUGCCAAGGCGACGAUCCAUAGCUGGUCUGAGAGGAUGAUCAGCCACACUGGGACUGAGACACGGCCCAGACUCCUACGGGAGGCAGCAGUGGGGAAUAUUGGACAAUGGGCGAAAGCCUGAUCCAGCAAUGCCGCGUGAGUGAUGAAGGCCUUAGGGUUGUAAAGCUCUUUUACCCGGGAUGAUAAUGGCAGUACCGGGAGAAUAAGCUCCGGCUAACUCCGUG